UACGAAGGGGGCUAGCGUUGUUCGGAAUCACUGGGCGUAAAGGGCGCGUAGGCGGCUGUUCAAGUCGGGGGUGAAAGCCUGUGGCUCAACCACAGAAUUGCCUCGAUACUGGACGGCUCGAGACCGGAAGAGGUCAGUGGAACUGCGAGUGUAGAGGUGAAAUUCGUAGAUAUUCGCAAGAACACCAGUGGCGAAGGCGGCUGACUGGUCCGGUUCUGACGCUGAGG
rnacentral:rRNA from 1 species